AUUGAACGCUGGCGGCAUGCCUUACACAUGCAAGUCGAACGGCAGCACGGGAGCAAUCCUGGUGGCGAGUGGCGAACGGGUGAGUAAUAUAUCGGAACGUGCCCAGUCGUGGGGGAUAACGUAGCGAAAGCUACGCUAAUACCGCAUACGAUCUAUGGAUGAAAGCGGGGGAUCGCAAGACCUCGCGCGAUUGGAGCGGCCGAUAUCAGAUUAGGUAGUUGGUGAGGUAAAGGCUCACCAAGCCGACGAUCUGUAGCUGGUCUGAGAGGACGACCAGCCACACUGGGACUGAGACACGGCCCAGACUCCUACGGGAGGCAGCAGUGGGGGAAUUUUUGGACAAUGGGCGCAAGCCUGAUCCAGCAAUGCCGCGUGCAGGAUGAAGGCCUUCGGUUGGUUAAC
rnacentral:rRNA from 1 species